GAUCCUGGCUCAGGAUGAACGCUAGCUACAGGCUUAACACAUGCAAGUCGAGGGGCAUCAGGAAGAAAGCUUGCUUUCUUUGCUGGCGACCGGCGCACGGGUGAGUAACACGUAUCCAACCUACCCUUUACUCGGGGAUAGCCUUUCGGAAAGAAAGAUUAAUACCCGAUGGCAUAAUGAUUCCGCAUGGUUUCAUUAUUAAAGGAUUCCGGUAAAGGAUGGGGAUGCGUUCCACUAGGUUGUUGGUGAGGUAACGG
rnacentral:rRNA from 1 species